UACGUAGGGGCUAGCGUUAUCCGGAAUUACUGGGCGUAAAGGGUGCGUAGGUGGUUUCUUAAGUCAGAGGUGAAAGGCUACGGCUCAACCGUAGUAAGCCUUUGAAACUGGGAAACUUGAGUGCAGGAGAGGAGAGUGGAAUUCCUAGUGUAGCGGUGAAACGCGUAGAUAUUAGGAGGAACACCAGUUGCGAAGGCGGCUCUCUGGACUGUAACUGACACUGAGGCACGAAAGCGUGGGGAGCAAACAGGAUUAGAUACCCGGGUAGUCCCUGAGCGGGCUGG
rnacentral:rRNA from 1 species